GGCCGGUGUUGGAGGCGGUGGCCCGUGGGCCUCGGGUGGCGGCUCGUCCGGGGGCCGUCGGUUCCGCGGCGGUCAAGCAGCGGCCAGGAAGGAGGGCGAUGCCCGGGCCACGGACGGGAGCCAGAGGAGCCGCUCGCCGGCAUCCCGAACCAGGGGGAGAGCUCAGCAGGGUACAAGCAGGCGAGACGUGGGCAGGCUGCUCGGGGAGAGGCUCACCGAUUUCAAGGUAAAAAAAAAAAAAAAAAAGUAAGACACUAUGCAUUUAUUUUCUAAAACGUUUGCAGAAUGUCAGGGCGUUCAGAAGCGAUCACGUUUGUGCAGCAGGUGGAGCUGCCGGGGCUGUCACAGGAGGUGUCAGCGGACACUGUUCCCGAUUCCAGAGAGUGCAGGCGGGUGAAGGCAGAGAAGUGGGGCCCAGGGGUGGUUUGCAGGGGCACCCCCCCCCCCGUCGCUGCUGUGGCCUGGGCAAGGACAGGGCGCACCCCAGUUUGGAUGCCCCAGACCUGUCCACGCAGCCCUGCCUGUGCCUUGUGUAGCAAGCAAAGGGUGAGCAGGCUUCCCCUGCACCCUCGUGUCCUGAUUCUUAACCCCCAGCCAUUGUGUUCAGGGGGACGAAAGUCUCUGCAGAGUUUUCUAACUGCCAGAGCCCGUGAUUCUAAUUUUUUUUUCCCUUUAAGACGGACUUAUUUUAGAGCACAAGCCUGGGGCAGGGGCUGGGAGGAAGAGCAGGGAGAGUCUGAAGCAGAGUCCGCACUCAGCCGGGAGCCUGACCUCGCGGCCAGAGCUAAAAUGUAGUCGGACCCUCGACCGAUGCCCCUGGCGUCCCGGUUCGAAACUGCUUUUUGUGCCGUAUUUGGAUUAUCCACUGCCCACCCCGCAGGGGAGAAAAAUCUAGGUGGGGAAGAAAGCUAUUAUUUAACAUAAGUAGGAUGAGGUUUAGGAAUUAAUACUAACAAGACAGGUAUUACAGUUGAAAUUUUGAAAUAUGUUUUUCAGUAAAAGUGUUUCUUUUUUGGCAAAACUUGAGAACAAAUUGGUCUUAAAUAAACCAUCUUAACACUUGG